GGCUGUGGAGCUGAACAGUAAUCUUUUAGGAUCAAAUCCGUAACAUCUGGCAUGAUGACCAUUGAUAUUUUUGUCGAAUGGAAACGGAUUAAGUCGUGCUACAAUCUGUACUCUGACUCAACAAUCUGAGAUUUCUUCUACUUGAGGAUUGUGAUGGCUACUUCGAGGAGGCGGAGAUGUGGCCGUGCACCCAAUUGGCCCGACAAGGAGAUAACCCAAAAUUUGACCAUGUACAUGGGAUUGGAGCAGAGGAUGAGAGCCAGACCCAGGAACUUUGCUAUGAUUGACAUGUUGAACUGGAUCACGAAAGGAGCACUGAUGGACCUGCAUUGUAAGGUCACUGAGAAAUUUUGAAGAAGGGUUGCCAAGGUGCAGAGGCAGCCUGUUGAUCCCUACAGUGAUGAGGAGCACAAUUGGAACAGAACCAUGUAUAUUGAAUGGAUGCAUAGGCUUGAGGAUCAGUGGAGGGAGAGAGGUGUCAACCUUGUAUGAAUCAAUCCAUUGUCCGGGGAGCACAGCUGUAGCACCCAUUUUCCUACAUGGGAAAGAACUGCCAUUCUGAAGCUCAAAACAAACCUGCACCAACAAUAGUGGAUAAUAUUAAACUUCACCUUAAUGCCAGCCCAGAAAGCUAAUAACAUAUUCAUUUUGGGAUAUAUUUCUGUCUUUACAGUUUGGGUGUACUAUUGCUUGGUAAUUAAAUUUUUCUUUCACCUGCAUGGGCCUAGAUUGUUUCUGUUUUAGUUAAG